UACGUAGGGGGCAAGCGUUGUUCGGAAUUACUGGGUGUAAAGGGCUCGUAGGCGGUGCGGCAAGUUGGGAGUGAAAUCUCUGGGCUUAACCCAGAGGCUGCUUUCAAAACUGCUGUGCUUGAGUGUGAGAGAGGCUCGUGGAAUUGCAGGUGUAGCGGUGAAAUGCGUAGAUAUCUGCAGGAACACCCGUGGCGAAAGCGGCGAGCUGGAUCACUACUGACGCUGAGGAACGAAAGCUAGGGGAGCAAACAGG
rnacentral:rRNA from 1 species